AAGACGACGCUAACAAGCCCCAGCUGCAUUGUUAUUCCUGCAUCCCGACUCAACUCACAGCAAACUUCUGCCGAGUCACAACAGGAGGUGAAAAGUAUGGAAUUUGUUGGAAGAAAAAUCGUGUCCGGUUCCAAUCCAGAAGAAAGAAACUGGAAAUAAAAUUGAGAAGCCAAGGUCAUCCUUUGUCUCCGCACUUUUCACACCUG